AGAUGAGGUAGAGGUCGCGGUUUUUAUAAGUACGGCGGGAGAGACGCGGAGAACGUCUAUGAAUUCGUCGGAAAGGAAAAAUCGCCGAAGUCUGUGUGCGUUCUCCGUGCGCGCGGGCUGGGGCUGUCACCGAACAGGGGCAGAACUGUCACGUUUGCUUUCUGAACGAACGUGAUGCGCUAUCUUCAUG
rnacentral:ncRNA from 2 species